ensembl:lncRNA
GGCCCCGCGCUGACCCACUUUCCCUCCCGCCUCCUCGACCCGAGGCUGAGAAUCCAGCGGCCGCCGCCAAGCAGGCAUGCAACAUCUUUAAAACCCUUGCCUCAAGAGAUACUGGAGGAUGCGUGCCAUCCAAACAAGCAAGUAAACCAAGAGACAGGAGGACCUGGGGUGCAGGAAGCAGGACCUAGCCCAACGGGCAGGCCAAGAGAGGCCCCAAGGAACUCCUGCUAAGCCGUGGCGGUUGCAUUUGUUGGUGGAAAAUGGCCCACAGAAGAAUCCAGCCCCCAGUGCUGAGGUGCAUCUGAUGGGACUAGGAGAGUGAUGAUCCCUAGGCAGCUCGGAGAAAGCACUGGGGACAUGUCAUGAACAACAAUGCUCCAGCCCCUUCCCUGUGGAGCUUAUGGCCCAGGAGCGGGACCAGUGUCGGCCCAAGUAUUUCACAGGCCUUGGACACAUGAAGCGGAUGACCAGGUGCACCGCAGAAUGCUCUGCCCAUUAGGAAGAUGUUCAUCGUCAGUGGAUGGUGACUAUGCAGCAACCCUGCAUGGUGCUGUGGUGCAGUGGCAAGACAGAGUUCAGGCGAUGCCAAGAGGCCAGCACCAUCCAUGACUCACUCCUAUUUUCAUGUAAAGACUGGUGUGCCAAGUAUCGCCUAGAUGUGAGUUGUGCUGUCCAGCAUGAAGGCAGAGUCUUGCUCCGUCACCCAGGCUGGAGUGCAGUGGCGCCAUCUCAGUUCACUGCAGCCUUCGCCUCCUGGCCUCAAGCUAUUCUCGUGCCUCAGCCUCCUGAGUAGCUGGGAUUACAGGCAUGCACCACCAUGCCUGGCUCAUUUUUUUGUAUUUUUAGUAGAUGGAGUCUUACUAGAUUGUCCAGCCUGGUCUUGAACUCCCGGCCUCAAGUGAUCCUCCCACCUCAGCCUCCCAAAGCACUGGAAUUUUAGCUCUGCAGGGCACACAGACCCACGUUUCUACCCCAUGUCAGAAGUCAUAUUGCCUUGGGGCCACCAUGCUGUGAGGAAUCCCAAGGGACUGCAGACAGCUUGGCAGAGGCCAGGCAGGCCCAGAUGGGACGAGAUCUGGCUGCCAGGCUGAGGAGUUUGGAGUUGGAAAUUUAAAAGCCCUUCAGGAAGCCUCUGCAAAAGACUGGCCUGUCAUUGAAGUGACAGGAUCCUCUCAGAGGAUGUGGCCAGCAGGCAGUGGAACAGGGAUUUUGACAUGAACUGUGACUCCCAGACGCCAUGCAGUUGACCAGGCUGCCAUCCGGAGCUUCCCUGGGGCCAGGAACUGCCUCUCAGGCCUGACGGGAUUCAGAUAUGCACCAAUGCACACAUUGGAGGAGAGCCAUGGGCUGCACUUCCGUCCUUUGGGCAGCCUCGAAGGCUCUGGAACUCUCCCUAAAGACGCUAAUUUCAGCCCCAGGGCCAUCCAGGCUGGGGGAGCCUCUUGACAGAAACUUCCCAUGUAUGCGGUGUCUCUCACCCAGGCAUCUUCCUCCUCCUGCACAGAGCCCUGUUCUCAGGGUUGCUCAGGCACACAGGUGACCUGGAUGUUCUCUCCUGGAUGUGACCCAUUGUGUGUCUUAAGUGUCUGGGGCACAAUCAAGAAAACAGCAUGAGCCGGGCAAAGUGGCUCAUGCCUGUAAUCCCAGCACUUUGGGAAGCCGAAGCGGGUGGAUCACGAGGUCAGGAGAUCGAGACCAUCCUGGCCAACAUGGUGAAACCCGGUCUCUACUAAAAAAAAAUAAAUAAAAUUAGCUGGGCGGGGUGGCAUGUGCCUAUAGUCCCAGCUACUCGGGAGGCUGAGGCCAGAGAAUGGCCUGAACCUAGGAGGCGGAGCUUGCAGUGAGCCCAGAUUGUGCCACUGCACUCCAGCCUGGGCGACAGAGCGAGACUGUCUCAAAAGAAAAUAGAAGAGGAAAAAAAAAAAAAAAAAAAGCAUGGCUUAGCCUCCUAAACCUUUUGGACAAAUAAACUUCACACCAACAC